rnacentral:rRNA from 1 species
UACGGGGGGGGCAAGCGUUGUUCGGAAUUACUGGGCGUAAAGGGCUCGUAGGCGGCCAACUAAGUCGGACGUGAAAUCCCUCGGCUUAACCGGGGAACUGCGUCUGAUACUGGAUGGCUUGAAUCCGGGAGAGGGAUGCGGAAUUCCAGGUGUAGCGGUGAAAUGCGAAGAUAUCUGGAGGAACACCGGUGGCGAAGGCGGCAUCCUGGACCGGCAUUGACGCUGAGGAGCGAAAGCCAGGGGAGCAAACGGG